AAUGACAAUCGAUGAAAAGCCCUAUAACGGAACGACAGCGACACACAGGCGGCGGCCAUCAUAUGCUAGAGAGAGAAAGCUAAGCGCCGGUAGAGAGAGAUAGAUAGACCACCGACCCGAACUGUUCCGCGUUACGCUAUUCUUCGAACUGGCCUAAUCUAUUCUGUUAUAUCUAUGGUAUUAUCACGGACUUACUCUUUUUCCUAUCAUUUGUUAAGUCCACUUUACAUCAACAAUAAAUUGAACAAUAAAUUGACAAAGUUAUUCAAGGCCAAAUUUGACGUGUUAAAGCACACUUUGACAUCCAGGUUUGUUCGUUAUAAACUUCACGUGAAGAAAUUGACGAAAAAGAAAAUUGUUCUAUUUUUUCAUUUAUUUGGCGUGAAUUCAGUGUCACCAACCUGUGUCCAUUUGGCGGGAAGUGGAAGUAGAGCUUUUUGUUUAUUAUUAUUUGUUGAGGUUUUCAUGUUCAUGACAACCUAAAAAUUUUGAUUGGAAAAUGCAUAUAAGAUAAGGGGGUGGGAAAAUGGAAAUUAGUGGCUUUUUUUGCAGUUCUGUCUGUUAGUUUUGCGUUUUGCUCUGGCUGGGUCUCUUUUGUUUAAACAAUUAUAAUCAGCUGAAAGUGGUCUACAAAAAAACCAGGAAGGAAACGUAUUAUAGCCUUGUUGUGGCUAUGAAAGGCAAAAGAAAGAUACCUAUAAAAAGUGUAUUGACUAGUUGGAAGAAACUCCACAUUGUCGAUGCAUAAUAAGAUAUUACUUUAUAAACAAAUAUCAAGACCUAGGAAUGGAACCUGGAUAAUAUAGUCAUCAAGAAGAUAGCAGGAAGUCAUGAGCAACAACAACUUCAUAAGUAUGAGAAUAUUGAGGAAAUCCACACUCCUCGAUAUCUACUACUGGACAAACUAGAAGAUUGAAGAGGACAAAGCCUUUUGAACUAGUUUGAGUGAUAGGUGAUAGUGAAAAGCAGAGCGUAGUGCUUGUGUGCCUGUGUAUGUUAGAAUAGUGCACGAUCUUGUUAGAUUAGAUAAGAGACGCUAUGGGGUAAGCUCUUCAUUUUAAGGAACAGUAGUAAUUUAGGUUAAAUUAAAUUUGCUCAUUGGUCAGUUAUGACCAGAUUGUAAUUCUCUGAUGUUUGGCAAAAAGGGCUUAAGUCAGAAUUGCACAUCAAUAAUGUUUUGAUGAUUUCUGGACCAUAAAAAAAAGUGUUGCAGACUUACACUGUAUGUACCAAUAAAAAGAGCCGAUUUUUCUGGUCCAGAAAUCAUCAAAACAUUAUCGAUGUGCAAUUCUGACUUGAGCCCUUUUUCCCAAACAUCAGAGAAUUGCAAUGUACAAUUCAAUACAAAUGAAUCAUCAUCCUAGUGAUGAUUAUGGAAAAAAAUAUAUGACAAGAUUUUGUGCAAUAAAAAUGUUUAUAUUUA